rnacentral:rRNA from 1 species
GACGAACGCUGGCGGCGUGCUUAACACAUGCAAGUCGAACGGGCCCGCCCCUGUUUUUGGGGGUGGGUUGAGUGGCGAACGGGUGAGUAUCACGUGAGUAACCUGCCCCCUGCUCCUGGAUAACUGCUUGAAAGGGCGGCUAAUACGGGGUGUGCCGGCUGGUCCGCAUGGGCCUGGUCGGGAUAGUUUCAUCUUCGGGUGUUUCGGUGGGGGAUGGGCUCGCGGCCUAUCAGCUUGUUGGUGGGGUGAUGGCCCACCAAGGCGGUGACGGGUAGCCGGCCUGAGAGGGUGGGCGGCCACACUGGGACUGAGACACGGCCCAGACUCCUGCGGGAGGCAGCAGUGGGGGGUAUUGCACAAUGGGCGGAAGCCUGAUGCAGCGACGUCGCGUGAGGGAUGGAGGCCGUCGGGUUGUGAACCUCUUUCUCCGGUGGUGAAGGCCCUGUCCGGUGCGGCGGGGUUGACGGUAGCCGGGUAUGAAGCGCCGGCUAACUACGUG